CAGACGUUGAUGGUCAACGGUAAUAUACAAGAACUUGAGGAUAAAAAUCACGAGGAACGCGAUUUGUUUCAAAAGUACAUCAGCAACAUGGCAUCGUAAGAAGAUGGUGGACGAGCUUACAGGAAUGGCUUACCAUCCAGACACACAUGAAAACCAAGAAUUGCUGUUUUCAAAACUAUUAUUAAUGUUCGCCUGAUAAGAUGAAGACAAGAAAGAGCGACACGCGGCUUUCGCUGAAAAACGUGGAAAGUAUAUUUGGAAUGCAAGGUCAAAAUUCGUUCGUUGAAUUUUGGUGAAGAAGCCAUUAUCAAUGAAAUUGAAAGCGAUGUGCUUCAGGAAUACGUCUAAAAAGAUAUUGUGAUAAAAGUCAUCUCAUAAAAAUCUAUUGUAUUUAAUUAUUGUUGGUGGAAGAUUUUCUUCGACAUUUCCACCGGCUGCUGGUUCAGUUCAUUAAAAGUUCCGUUUAUUCAAAACCAUUUGAAAUAUGCAACAAAGGACAAAUACUCUGCAGCAAGGGAACGCAUCUCGCAAGAAGCCGCAAGUCUCUCAUCAAUUUUCAUUCAAUUGCUUCAAGUUUUGUCAACGCCACAAACGAAGAUAAUGUUUACGAAGCUGAAAGCCACAUGUUGUAUGUACUUUGCUCAUUAUUACUUAUUUACUAGGAGUUACUAUCGCAAGGGAAGUGCUGCCCCUCCACCAAGUAAGGUAAAACAGUUUGGAAACUGCUAUUGCGUGUUUUCCAUCAUUUAUCAUCUGCCAUAAACAAUACAAUAAUGAAUGGUAAAAAUAAAAAUACAGCAAGAAACCGCAACAACUCGUAUACUUUGUCAUUGCAUAAAGACAAGCUAAUUGUGUCAUCUUUUAUUUUCAAAUUGUCAUAUAAAUCAAUUUAUAGAAGUAGAUGCAAGAAGUAACACUGUAUGUAUGUAUAAUUAUGCUAAUUUCAAAAUGGGAUAAUUGGAUGAACAGUUUUCAAAGCUCAUUUUACAAAAAUUUGCAUAUUGUCAUUUAGAACUCGGCCAAUAACAAUUAAAUCAUGUUAACCGGAGCUUAAAUUUGAUUUUGUAAAAUAUGAUUCUGUAAAAAAGCCACAUGGUUGAUGUAAACAUUGUGGACAUUUGAACAGAUUUUAACCUUGAAAAGUUUUUUAACUUUGAAAAGACAUAUGGUUCCUAUUGAAAAUGUUUCAUAUUUGUCAAAAGCUUAAAGUUUUGUUUGCUUAAAUAUUUUAAGACAAUUCACAAUUCUGAUUUUGUUCUUUAGGUUGAAAUAAAAACACGGCAUGAUUUCUUGUUU